rnacentral:rRNA from 1 species
GGUUAAGCGACUAAGCGUACACGGUGGAUGCCCUGGCAGUCAGAGGCGAUGAAGGACGUGCUAAUCUGCGAUAAGCGUCGGUAAGGUGAUAUGAACCGUUAUAACCGGCGAUUUCCGAAUGGGGAAACCCAGUGUGAUUUGUCACACUAUCAUUAACUGAAUCCAUAGGUUAAUGAGGCGAACCGGGGGAACUGAAACAUCUAAGUACCCCGAGGAAAAGAAAUCAACCGAGAUUCCCCCAGUAGCGGCGAGCGAACGGGGAGGAGCCCAGAGCCUGAAUCAGUGUGUGUGUUAGUGGAAGCGUCUGGAAAGGCGCGCGAUACAGGGUGACAGCCCCGUACACAAAAAUGCACAUGCUGUGAGCUCGAUGAGUAGGGCGGGACACGUGGUAUCCUGUCUGAAUAUGGGGGGACCAUCCUCCAAGGCUAAAUACUCCUGACUGACCGAUAGUGAACCAGUACCGUGAGGGAAAGGCGAAAAGAACCCCGGCGAGGGGAGUGAAAAAGAACCUGAAACCGUGUACGUACAAGCAGUGGGAGCCUCUUUAUGGGGUGACUGCGUACCUUUUGUAUAAUGGGUCAGCGACUUAUAUUCUGUAGCAAGGUUAACCGAAUAGGGGAGCCGAAGGGAAACCGAGUCUUAACUGGGCGUUAAGUUGCAGGGUAUAGACCCGAAACCCGGUGAUCUAGCCAUGGGCAGGUUGAAGGUUGGGUAACACUAACUGGAGGACCGAACCGACUAAUGUUGAAAAAUUAGCGGAUGACUUGUGGCUGGGGGUGAAAGGCCAAUCAAACCGGGAGAUAGCUGGUUCUCCCCGAAAGCUAUUUAGGUAGCGCCUCGUGAAUUCAUCUCCGGGGGUAGAGCACUGUUUCGGCAAGGGGGUCAUCCCGACUUACCAACCCGAUGCAAACUGCGAAUACCGGAGAAUGUUAUCACGGGAGACACACGGCGGGUGCUAACGUCCGUCGUGAAGAGGGAAACAACCCAGACCGCCAGCUAAGGUCCCAAAGUCAUGGUUAAGUGGGAAACGAUGUGGGAAGGCCCAGACAGCCAGGAUGUUGGCUUAGAAGCAGCCAUCAUUUAAAGAAAGCGUAAUAGCUCACUGGUCGAGUCGGCCUGCGCGGAAGAUGUAACGGGGCUAAACCAUGCACCGAAGCUGCGGCAGCGACACUAUGUGUUGUUGGGUAGGGGAGCGUUCUGUAAGCCUGUGAAGGUGUACUGUGAGGUAUGCUGGAGGUAUCAGAAGUGCGAAUGCUGACAUAAGUAACGAUAAAGCGGGUGAAAAGCCCGCUCGCCGGAAGACCAAGGGUUCCUGUCCAACGUUAAUCGGGGCAGGGUGAGUCGACCCCUAAGGCGAGGCCGAAAGGCGUAGUCGAUGGGAAACAGGUUAAUAUUCCUGUAC